UGGAUCAUUGAUGACCAAAAAAAAUAAUCAUCUGCGAGUCCUCUGAGACAUCCAUGAUGACCACAUCAUUGGGAUCUGAGGUCCAC
ensembl:snoRNA LOC120093398 small nucleolar RNA SNORD113/SNORD114 family